AACUUUUAACAACGGAUCUCUUGGUUCUGGCAUCCGAUGAAGAACGCAGCGAAAUGCGAUAAGUAAUGUGAAUUGCAGAAUUCAGUGAAUCAUCGAAUCUUUGAACGCACAUUGCGCCCGCCAGCAUUCUGGCGGGCAUGCCUGUUCGAGCGUCAUUUCA
rnacentral:rRNA from 1 species